GACGAACGCUGGCGGCGUGCCUAACACAUGCAAGUCGAGCGGGGAGGGCCUUCGGGCCCUUCCAGCGGCGGACGGGUGAGUAACGCGUGAGCAACCUUUCCUUCACAGGGGAAUAACGCAGCGAAAGCUGUGCUAAUACCGCAUGAGACCACAAGAUCGCAUGGUCAAGGGGUCAAAGGAGCAAUUCGGUGAAGGGUGGGCUCGCGUCUGAUUAGCUAGUUGGCGGGGUAACGGCCCACCAAGGUGACGAUCAGUAGCCGACCUGAGAGGGUGAUCGGCCACACUGGGACUGAGACACGGCCCAGACUCCUACGGGAGGCAGCAGUGGGGAAUUUUGGACAAUGGACGAAAGUCUGAUGCAGCAACGCCGCGUGGAGGAUGACACAUUUCGGUGCGUAAACUCCUUUUAUAUGAGAAGAAGAAAGCCGGUGAAGAGCCGGCCCUGACGGUAUCCCCUUAGCAAGCACCGGCUAACUCCGUGCCAGCAGCCGCGGUAAAGUACAG
rnacentral:rRNA from 1 species